CCUACGGGUGGCAGCAGUGGGGAAUAUUGCACAAUGGGGGAAACUCUGAUGCAGCGACGCCGCGUGAGUGAAGAAGUAAUUCGUUAUGUAAAGCUCUAUCAGCAGGGAAGAAAAUGACGGUACCUGAGUAAGAAUCACCGGCUAACUACUUCCCCGAAGCCGCGGUAAUCCGUAGGGGGCAAGCGUGAUCCGGAUUUACUGGGUGAAAGGGGAGCGUAGACGGCAGUGCAAGUCUGGAGUGAAAGGCGGGGGCUAAAUCCGCGGACUGCUCUGGAAACGGUCGGGCUGGAGUGAAGUACGGGUAAGUGGAAUUCCUGGUGUAGCGGUGAAA
rnacentral:rRNA from 1 species